rnacentral:lncRNA from 1 species
GCUGCCAUCGCUCCGGGCCUGCGGGGAUGCCUGACACGUCCGGGGUCUGCGGCCUCCCGGCGUCGGUGUCUGAGCCACGUGCUCCUGUCCCGACCCCUUUCCCGUGUCUCUCCGGUGUCCGCCCCUCGGUCCCGUGUCUGUGUCGCCCUCGUCCGUGUCUGCCUCCCGCUUCCCCGCCUCGCGACUUGAGCCCCGCCCGUACCUGCUUAGGGCGCUGCCCUCGCCCGCUUGCU